rnacentral:rRNA from 1 species
GCGUGGGUAACCUGCCUCAUACAGGGGGAUAACAGUUAGAAAUGACUGCUAAUACCGCAUAAGACCACAGGACCGCAUGGUCCAGUGGUAAAAACUCCGGUGGUAUGAGAUGGACCCGCGUUGGAUUAGCUAGUUGGCAGGGUAACGGCCUACCAAGGCGACGAUCCAUAGCCGGCCUGAGAGGGGUGAACGGGCCACCAUUGGGACUGAGACACGGCCCAGACUCCUACGGGAGGCAGCAUG